rnacentral:rRNA from 1 species
UACGAAGGGGGCUAGCGUUGCUCGGAAUCACUGGGCGUAAAGGGUGCGUAGGCGGGUCUUUAAGUCAGGGGUGAAAUCCUGGAGCUCAACUCCAGAACUGCCUUUGAUACUGAAGAUCUUGAGUUCGGGAGAGGUGAGUGGAACUGCGAGUGUAGAGGUGAAAUUCGUAGAUAUUAGGAAGAACACCGGUGGCGAAGGCGGCCCACUGGCUCGACACUGACGCUGAGGUGCGAAAGCGUGGGGAGCAAACAGG